UUCCAGGGUUUCAUUGCCAGGGUUUUUACACAUGAUUUUUCUGAAAUGGAGAAUUGGAACUAAGCUAUAACUACUCUUCUAGGACAGGCUGCAAAUAAUCACGUUGUUAAAGCAAGAUGGUUGUACUUCAAACUGGUGAUCAUGUAUGGCUGGAAUCCCAUUCAGGCAAAGAGUUUAAUGUGCCCAUUGGGGCAGUUGUGAAAGUAUCUAACUUGGGACGAUUCUUGCUGGAGGAUGAUGAAGGCAAGGAGCACUGGAUCACAGCUCAAAAUAUUAGCGCAAUGCGACCAAUGCAUGCUGCCUCCAUCCAAGGAGUAGAAGAUAUGAUACAUCUUGAAGAGAUGAAUGAAGCUGGCAUGGUACACAACCUAUAUAUCCGCUACAAAGAGAAUAAGAUCUAUACCUACACAGGCUCUAUUCUUGUAGCCAUCAAUCCAUAUCAAGUGCUGCCACUGUAUACCAUGGAACAAAUCCAGCUCUACUGCAACAAGAGGAUUGGGGAACUGCCUCCUCACGUCUUUGCCAUUGCUGAUAAUUGUUAUUUCAAUAUGCUGAGGAAUAAGAGAGAUCAAUGCUCUGUCAUUAGUGGAGAGUCUGGAGCUGGGAAGACUGAAAGCACAAAAUUAAUGUUGCAGUUCUUAGCUGUUAUUAGUGGUCAACAUUCCUGGAUUGAACAACAGAUUCUAGAAGCCAAUCCCAUUUUGGAAGCCUUUGGCAAUGCUAAAACAAUUCGAAAUGAUAACUCAAGCCGUUUUGGGAAAUACAUUGACAUUCACUUCAACCAAAAUGGUAUAAUAGAAGGAGCUCGAAUAGAACAGUUUCUUCUGGAGAAGUCUAGAGUGUGUCGCCAGGCUCCCGAGGAAAGAAACUAUCACAUAUUUUAUUGCAUGUUAACAGGGAUGAAUCUGGAACAGAAAAAAGUGUUGAAUCUUGGCACUACUUCAGAGUAUACUUACCUAACUAUGGGCAAAUGCACUUUGUGUGAAGGACGUAAUGAUGCCAAGGAAUAUGCUCAUAUAUGCUCAGCUAUGAAAAUUCUCAUGUUCUCUGAUUCUGAACAGUGGAACAUAAGCAAAUUAUUGGCAGCCAUUUUGCAUCUAGGAAAUGUAAAAUUUGAAGGUGUUGUGUAUGAAAAUUUGGACUGCUCUCAUAUUCUUGAUUCUGUACAUUUUUCCACUGCAACCAAACUACUAGAGGUAGAUUGCAAAGAACUCCACAAGAGCCUUACAAACCAUUCCAUCAUCAUCCGAGGGGAAAGUGUCUCUACGCCCCUAAGUGUAACUCAAGCAGCCGAUGUGAGAGAUGCCUUUGUCAAGGGGAUCUAUGGAUUCCUCUUCAUCUGGAUAGUGAAUAAGAUCAAUGAUGCAAUUUGUGGUCCUUCUUCUCCAGAUGAGAAAAAAAUGUACAAAUCCAUUGGACUCCUGGAUAUAUUUGGCUUUGAAAACUUUAACACUAACAGUUUUGAGCAGUUUUGCAUCAACUUUGCCAAUGAACAUCUCCAGCAAUUCUUUGUACUCCACAUCUUCAAACUGGAGCAGGAGGAAUACUUAGCUGAGCAAAUCUCCUGGAACCAUAUAGACUUCAAAGAUAACUGUGCCGCUUUGGAAGUCAUUGUACUGAAACCCAUGAACAUUGUUUCACUGAUUGAUGAGGAAAGCAGAUUUCCCAAAGGGACAGACACCACUAUGCUAAACAAAAUCAAUUCACACCAUGGCAGAAGCAAAAUCUACAUUCCUCCAAAGAAUGUCCAUGAUACAAUUUUUGCUAUUAACCAUUUUGCUGGAGUUGUUUAUUACCAGUCAAAAGGUUUCCUUGAGAAAAAUCGUGAUAUGCUUAGCUCGAACAUAAUACAACUUGUUCAUUCAUCCAAAAAUAAAUUCCUCAAAGAGAUCUUUCAGGUGGACACAAGCAUGCAUGUUCUGCCUUUUGGCCGUGGGACCAUUAAGCACCUUGGAAAGGAUUCCUUGAAGGGAUCAGAUUCUGGCAAACGCUUGCCUACACUAGCAGGACAAUUCAAACAGUCUCUGGAGCAGUUGAUGAAAAUCUUGAAUAGCUGUCAGCCUUAUUUUAUCCGCUGCCUUAAACCCAAUGACCAAAAGAAACCCAUGCAAUUUGAUAGAGAACUCUGUAUCCGACAGCUAUACUACUCUGGUAUGAUAGAAACCAUACGGAUUAGGAAAGCUGGCUAUCCAAUUCGCUAUAACUUUGCAGAUUUCUUUCAGAGAUACAGAGUCCUACAGCCAGUGCCAGCUAGAGAACAGCUGAAAAAUGAUGUUCGUCAGAGUUGCAUUUGUAUCUGUAAGAAAGUAAUGGAAGAUGAAGAUUGGAAAAUUGGAAAAACCAAAGUUUUUCUGAAAGAUUAUCAUGAUACGGUCCUGGAGGUGCAGCGUGACAAGGCACUCAGAGAAAAAGCCAUUCUAAUUCAGAAGGUGUUGAGGGGAUUCAAAGACAGGAAACAAUUUCUGAACCAGAGACAAAGUGCUGUAGUUAUACAGGCAGCCUGGAGAGGAUAUAUUGCUCGGAAAAAUUUUAGAAUGCUCAUAUUGGGAUUUGAACGUCUGCAAGCCCUUUUCCGGAGCAAACAGCUUAUGAAGAAGUACGAAGAAGCCCGUGGCAACAUGAUUAAGUUUCAAGCGUUGUGCCGAGGUUACCUGAUGCGCCAGAAAAUUGCUGAACAGCUGAAAGCUGUGUGUGUGAUACAGGCUUAUGCCAGGGGAAUGUUUGUUCGUAAGACUUUGCACAAAAUGAAGACGGAACGUUUGGCAAUUCCUUUAAAAAUAAAGGACUCUAAAGAAAACAAACAUGAAUCAAUGUAUGAUGUCAUCAGUGAUCAGGAAAUGGUGGACAGAGUAUUUGGCUUCUUGCCUUCGUUCAUUGGGGGACAAGAAGGCCAAGCUCCUUUGGGCUUUGAGGACCUGGAGAAAAAAACACAAACAAACAAGCUGCACGAGAUAGACCUGGAUAUGAUCCCCAUAACGGUAGAGCUGGAUGAGGAGGCAGAUGACUUGGCACAAUACACCUUCCCCAAAUUUGCAGCAACUUAUUUCCAGGGAUCUGCCACUUAUACACACAUUAGACGUCCACUGCGCCACCCUUUGCUUUAUCAUGAUGAAAAAGAUGAUAUUUUGGCCUCUCUAGCUGUAUGGACCAUCAUUUUGCAGUUCAUGGGUGAUUUGCCAGAAAGAGUGCAGAAUAUCAACAGCAAGAGAAGUUCCAAGGAGACCCAGAUUUAUGAAAGCUUUGACAAGAAAAGCCAACCGCAGCCUGUAAGCAGUUAUCAUCCAGAUAUAGUAGACAUCAAAAAAGCUAACAAGUUCUCCAAGGUAAUUUCUUCUGUGAAACUGAAGCGCAACUCCAAAAUGGCUGAUAAGAUAAAAAACCAGCUGAUGAAUGGGGAAGAUACCGGUACGUUUCAGGAGGAAUGCUCUGAAUCUGAGAGGCCUAUGUCUAACCUUGAAAAAGUGCAGUUUAUCAUUGGAAAUGCUAUUCUGCGUUCUGCCAUCAGGGAUGAAAUUUAUUGUCAGAUCUGCAAACAACUCACUGAAAAUAACAAUAAAACUAGUUACCAUAGAGGUUGGAUCUUGCUGUCACUUUGCCUUGGUUCUUUCUGCCCUUCGGACCAGUUUGUGAAGUAUCUACUAAAUUUCAUUCGGGGUGGACCAUUAUUGUAUGCACCAUAUUGUUCUGAACGGUUGAGGCGAACUUAUAUGAAUGGAACACGAUCUGAACCACCUAGCUGGAUGGAGCUGCAGGCAACCAAGAGUAAGAAACCAAUUACACUUAGUGUAAUCAUGAUGAAUGGCAACAGUACCAAAGUGCUUGCAGAUUCAGCCUCCACUGCAAAGGAGAUCUGCCAGCUGGUAGCUGAUCAAAUGAACUUGAAAGACACAUUUGGUUUCUCUCUCUACAUUGCUUUGUAUGAUAAGGUCUGGUCACUGGGCAGUGGACGGGAUCACAUCAUGGAUGCCAUUUCUCAGUGUGAACAACAGGAAAAAGAGAAGGGUGGUCAUGUACAGUAUACUCCUUGGCGUCUGUACUUCAGAAAAGAGAUCUUCACCCCCUGGCAUAAUUCCAAAGAAGAUCCCAUCAGUACUGAACUCAUCUAUUAUCAGAUAAUACGUGGCCUCCGGUUUGGAGAAUACUGCUGUGAAAAGGAGGAGGACAUGGUGGAAAUUGGAGCCAAAUACUGUUAUAUCAAGUUUGGAGAGUCCAUCCAAAAUGAGUUGGUUCAAAGUAUUCUCCAAGAAUGUAUCCCAGCAAAGCUACUAAGAUCCAAAUCCCAAGAGAAGUGGGUGAACCUCAUCACAUAUGCUCACGCUAAAGCGACUUACACACAGGACCAGAUUUCCCCUCAGUGUGUAAAGGAGCAGCUGGUAGACUUUGCCCGUGAUCAGUGGCCUCUGCUCUUUUCUAGAUUCUUUGAAGUUACUAAAUUUUCAGGGCCCAGUCUGCCAAAGAAACAUUUCAUUGUGGCAAUUAAUUGGAAAGGUAUAUGUUUCCUAGAUGACACUGAAAGAAGACUUCUAGACUUGUCUUUUCCAGAAAUUACUGGCAUCCAUACCAACAGGGGAGUCAAGAGAUUUGGGCAAAGCUGCACCCUUAGCACACUGUGUGGUGAAGAGUUUGUCUUGACAUCUGUCAAUAGUGUUGCAAUUGCAGAAUUAAUAGUCAUGUUCCUGGAAGGACUGAAAAAGCGAUCACUUUAUGCGGUAGCAAUACAAGACAAAAAGUUACAAGGUGACACUACCAUUUUGGCUUACAAGAAGGGGGACUUGUUGAUUUUAACCCAGGACAAAAGACUAGGAGAAAAUCAAGGCUGGAUCCCUGCUCAAAAUGAGCGAACCAAUGGUUCUGGGCUUGUGUCAUCAGAGACCAUUUAUAUCAUCCCUACAGUUACAAAGCCUUCCAGUCAAAUAUUGAGCUUGCUGAUGAUGUCACCUGAACAACGGAGGUUAGUAUCACUAAACUCUCAUGUGGAAGAAUCCGAGGAAGAAAAUGCAAAUGUGAAGCCCUAUACUCUGGAAGAAUUCUCCUAUGAGUACUUCAGAGUACCUGAGAAGGAGUCAAUCAGCAAGGCUGUUUUACCCAAGUCCCGAGGGCGGAGUCAUCUGUGGGCUCAUUCUAGGGAGCCCCUGAAAAAACCUUUGCUAAAGAAAGUGUGUUCUAAUCCAGACCUCUGGGAUUUUGCUUACCAGACCUUCAUUGCCAUAAUGAAAUACAUGGGAGAUUAUCCCUCAAAGCAAGAGAGAUCUUCUGUGGAACUUACUGACCAGAUAUUUUUAGUGGCAAUUCAGGAGGAUACUCUGCAAGAUGAGGUCUAUUGUCAGAUCUUGAAACAGUUAACAGAAAACCACAACAGGUAUAGCCUGAAUAGUGGUUGGCAGUUACUGUGGCUCUGUACAGGCCUUUUUCCACCUAGUAAAUCAUUGCUGAAACAUGUUCAGAAGUUCAUUGAGACUCGUCUGAAGGAGAAUCUGGCGUUGGAAUGCAGACAUAGGAUUCAAAAAGUGAUGAGGAGUGGCUGUCGGAAGUGGGCUCCACACAGUGUAGAAGUGGAGGCAAUUCAGAAUAAUAUCACCAAGAUUUCACACAAGAUUCAUUUUCCAAAUGAGAUAGAGCAGGUUUUUGAUGUAGGAACAAACACAAAAGUAUGGGAUCUAUGUCAGAUGAUAGGCAACAAGAUGGAAUUGAGCUCCUUGGAUGGAUUUAGCCUCUUUAUCAAGAUUUCAGAUAAGGUGAUCAGCCAGAAUGAAGCAGAUUAUUUCUUUGACUCCUUAAGGCAGGUGACAGACUGGAAUCGGAAGAACAGGCCAGGAAAAGAGGUGUUUCCCACCACUAUGAAUUAUCAGGUAUAUUUCAUGAGAAAGUUGUGGCUGAAUGUGAUACCUGGGAAGGAUUUGAAGGCUGAUUGCAUCUUUCAUUAUCAUCAGGAACUGCCAAAGUAUCUGCGAGGCUAUCACAAGUGCUCAAAGGAGGAUGCCAUCCAACUGGCUGGGCUGAUUUUCAGAGUUCGUUUUAACAGUGAUCGAACACAAUAUGCUGCAAUACCUAAAAUACUGAAGGAACUAGUGCCUGAGAACAUGAUUCCAAUACUAUCCCCAGAGGAGUGGAAACGGAAUAUUAUUUCUGCUGUCAGCAAACUUGGACAAAAAAGUGUGGAUGAGGCCAAAGUCGCCUUCUUGAAGUUCAUAUAUCGUUGGCCAACAUUUGGCUCAGCCUUCUUUGAAGUGAAGCAAACAUCAGAGCCAAAUUUCCCUGACAUAGUAUUGAUUGCUAUCAACAAGCAAGGGAUUUCCAUAAUACAUUCAAAGACUAAGGAGAUCUUAGCUCUUUAUCCCUUCAAUAAAAUUUCUAACUGGAGCAGUGGUAGCACAUAUUUUCAUAUGACAAUAGGGAACCUGGUACGAGGAAAUCGAAUUCUUUGUGAGACAUUUCUGGGUUACAAAAUGGAUGACUUGUUGACAUCAUAUAUUCAUUUGCUAAUGAACAUUGUAAACAAACAGAAAAAGCCCAAUAUCCCUACCUGAAGAUGCAGCUAUCGUCAUGCAAAGGUUGUGCCAGAUUUGCAAUAUUUGCUAUCUUGAAAGAAACGGGACUUGGUUACUUUGCAUUUUUUUUUAACCGAAGAAAACCAUACUAUUGCUCUAUACCAGAAAUAAGUGUCGUCUUAUGCUGACUGCAGCUUAAUCAUACCUGGCUUGACUACAAAUUGUACUAUCGGCAUAUCAAGAUUUUGUUCCAAACUAUUAUCUGUUUAAUAAUUAUAACUUCCUUCCUUGGAAAUAUUGAUCACAUUCUUACUGUAUUCUAGCCAUCAGCAGUACAGUACAAUAAGAUGUUUGCUUCCAGUUAUAAAUAUAUUACAUUGAAAGAAAACAGCAUGCUCAUGAGCCGAAAAUUUCAUUUUUGGAGGACUGUUGGAACUUCAUAAAACAAGCCUCUGUGUCAUAUAUGCCUUCUGGCCAUUGGAUUCAAUAUUGCUCCCUUCCUUUCCUAUUUCUGGAACAUGCUUGCAUAUGUUAUUAUGAAUGAAAACUGACAUCUGCUUAAUUAAUUCUGUAAAUUUACAUAUUUAUUGUUUGAGAGAGAAUUGCAGUUGUAUUUUUUUAACGCUAUUUUAUUUUUUUUGCUUGCUUUCUAUGAUUUGUACCCUAUUGGACAAGCUUCCAUAGCGGAACUUCAGCCUAGAGGUUGUGGAUAAAAUGGCAAAUUGAAAAGAAAUCAAUUUGCCCUAUGGAAAUAAUAUCAAGCGUCUGGAUGAAGAAGAUCACUACAAAUACCAUACUUCAAGCUGUAUGCCUCGUGUACGCUGAAGUCGAGAAGAUUGGAACUCAGUACAUCAUGAGAGUAAAGAAGAGUUUAAAGUUUUCCUCAGUGGAGGAAAUGCUAUCAAGGCAAUUAACACCUGAGCAAUGCCAGUCAUUAGAUACACAGCUGGAAUAGUGCACUGGAUUCAAGCAGAACUAAAAGCCCUGGAUAGAAAGAACACAAACAUUUAAAGGACAGCGAAGAGGAUGCAUUGAAGCUAGUAUACCAUGAAAGUUUACUGAAUACCCAAGAGACCAAAUGUGCCGACAGGAAAGACCAAAUGAAGAACAGAAAAAAGACAUGGCAUGGCAAAGUAUUACAUGGUCAGUACACAAAAAAGGACAGGGAAAGCAAGUAACAUGUCCUGGUAAUGGCUAAGAGCAGGAACAUUGAAGAAAGAGAUAGAGGUGUUAAUUCUGGUUGCCCAGGUCCAACCCUUAAGAACGAAUGCAUAAAAAGCCAAAAUUGAGGACAGCAACAGACAACAAAUAUAAUUUGCCUGCAAGCAGGAAUUGGUGGAACCACAAAGUAGACUAAGAGAAAACAAAGAAAAGUGUUCUGCAUCUUUAGAAUUCAAAGAGACAAAAACAUGCCACAACAUAACACCCCAGAUUUAACAAUUGUUUUAAGAAAGAAAAUCUAGAUAGUGGACACUGCAAUACCUGGAGAUGACAAAAUAGAGAACAAUUGGAGAAAACCACAAAAUAUAAAGAUCUGCAACUAGAAGUAGAAUGACUGUGGCAAAAGAAACCCAGAGAGUACCGACUAUCAUCGGUAUGAGAUCCCAAAACAUCUGGAGCACCACUUGAACACUAUCAGCAUUGAUAAAAUCACCAUCAGUGAAUUGUAAAAGGUAACUUUACUUGGAACAGUUUAUAUCCUGCGACCGUACCAGGGGAGGGUUCUACUUACCAUUACUACCAGUUUGCAAUGGGAGCACGCUCUCUCGCUUUGCUCGCAUGCGCAGAUCGUGCAUUAUGACAUCCAGGCGGGUGGGUGGAGCCUCUCACUGCUUUUACUACUGGUUCGCAAGAACCGCACAGAACCGGGAGCAACCCACCCCUGGACUGUACCUUUAACAUCAUCAAAAAACAUCUGCCUAUUCCUAGUCCUUGGGAAGGACUUGUUAGGUAGAUAAAAAUCCAGUCUAAACAUCUGGCUGAUCGUGUGACCAACCAUAAUAUAAUCAGCCUUAACUGAAUGAAAGCAUAUU